CUCCUCAUCAUUGAAACAAGAGAGGAAGGAGAAAGCUAAAGGAAGUCCUGACUGUAUGUGCUGCUCCAGAGAGUGCGAGGCAUCACUUGUAGGCUGCUGCCUCCAGUCUCCCACACAGUCAGCCAGGCAGAGGUUACCAUGGGUUGCUGAGGUUGCUGAGGUUGCUCGUGGACGUUCUCUGCUGGGCUGGCGGGUGAAGCUAAAAUGGAUGACAGGAGACGACAUUAGUUAAUUCCAGCAGAGCCGUCGGCCGAGGCUGUGAGGACGAACAACCCGUCGGCCACCUCGAGGACGUCCACACUUACUAAUGCUCUCUCAUGAGCUCUCCAGCUCUGCAGCAGAGGAGGCCGCUCACACACUGGCUGUGUGGAAAAAGAACACCUCAGGUGUGCGUCUGUCCAGUGACGCUCCAAAAGCAGAGGCAGCCAGCCUGCGAUGAGACCAGGACACCUCUGUUUCUCAGCUUUCUGUUGCUGGCCCGGUGCUGCAGGAACAAGAGGUCAUCCACAGGGGGCACCGCUCUAGAUGCACACAAACAGGACAAAAACAAACAGGCCACAACAAAUGGAUGCCACCCAGUAAAGAUGCAGAACUCUUACCAAAAAAAGUGGUUUACCACCAGACUAGAGCUAGUGUUUGUGAUUGCGGGGUUGGGAGAUAAUUAAUGGGAUAGGAAAGAAGAAAAAACAAACUACAGAAAUUUGUAUUUGUUAUUUCGCCUUUUCUCAAAUCUUUGCUUCUUUUAUGGGGAAUAAUUGGAUAAUUUUACCUCUUGAAUGUGACAAAGGGCCCUAACUAGACACCCAUUUGUGCCCGCAACUGAAACCUUUAUUUCCUUGAGUGGAAGUGUUCAAAUUUGAAGCUCAAAUGUGAAGACAUUUUCAAAAUCUGUCAAACUGUUUGGCUGAAAAGUAAAUUUUUCUUAUCAUACUAUAUCUAGUAUUUGGGCACAUGGGACUACUGUUUUUUACAAUAGACUCCAUUAUAU